rnacentral:rRNA from 1 species
UACAGAGGUCUCAAGCGUUGUUCGGAUUCAUUGGGCGUAAAGGGUGCGUAGGCGGCGCGGUAAGUCUGACGUGAAAUCUUCAAGCUCAACUUGGAAACUGCGUCGGAUACUAUUCGGCUAGAGGAAUGGAGGGGAGACUGGAAUACUUGGUGUAGCAGUGAAAUGCGUAGAUAUCAAGUGGAACACCAGUGGCGAAGGCGAGUCUCUGGACAUUUCCUGACGCUGAGGCACGAAAGCCAGGGGAGCAAACGGG